UGGCUCGGUAGCUCAGUCGGUAGAGCAACGGACUGAAAAUCCGUGUGUCGGCGGUUCGAUUCCGUCCCGAGCCAUCCA
rnacentral:tRNA from 1 species